rnacentral:rRNA from 1 species
AUUGAACGCUGGCGGAAUGCUUUACACAUGCAAGUCGAACGGCAGCACGGGUGCUUGCACCUGGUGGCGAGUGGCGAACGGGUGAGUAAUGCGUCGGAACGUACCGAGUAAUGGGGGAUAACGCAGCGAAAGUUGUGCUAAUACCGCAUACGUCCUGAGGGAGAAAGCGGGGGAUCGCAAGACCUCGCGUUAUUCGAGCGGCCGACGUCUGAUUAGCUAGUUGGUGGGGUAAAGGCCUACCAAGGCGACGAUCAGUAGCGGGUCUGAGAGGAGGAUCCGGCACAAUGGGGCUGAGACACGGCCAAGAGUCCUAAGGGAGGCAGCAGUGGGGAAUUUUGGACAAGGGGGGCAACCCUGAUCCAGCCAUUCCGCGUGAGUGAAGAAGGCCUUCGGGUUGUAAAGCUCUUUCAGCUGGAACGAAACGGAGCGCUCUAACAUAGCGUGCUACUGACGGUACCAGCAGAAGAAGCACCGGCUAACUACGUGCCAGCCGCCGCAGUAACAC